rnacentral:rRNA from 1 species
GACGAACGCUGGCGGCGUGCUUAACACAUGCAAGUCGAACGGAACUCUUUGGAUCGAGACUUCGGUCAAGUGAAUCUGAGUUUAGUGGCGGACGGGUGAGUAACGCGUGAGGAACCUGCCUUUCAGAGGGGACGAACAGUUGGAACGACUGCUAAUACCGCAUAACGCAUAUUGAUCGCAUGGUCGAUAUGCCAAAGAUUUAUCGCUGAAAGAUGGCCUCGCGUCUGAUUAGCUAGUUGGUGAGGUAACGGCCCACCAAGGCGACGAUCAGUAGCCGGACUGAGAGGUUGACCGGCCACAUUGGGACUGAGAUACGGCCCAGACUCCUACGGGAGGCAGCAGUGGGGAAUAUUGGGCAAUGGGCGCAAGCCUGACCCAGCAACGCCGCGUGAAGGAAGAAGGCUUUCGGGUUGUAAACUUCUUUUGUCAGGGAAGAGUAGAAGACUGUACCUGGCGAAUAAGCCACGGCUAACUACGUGCCAGCAGCCGCGG